UACAUGCAGUCGAGCGGACAGAUGGGAGCUUGCUCCCUGAUGUUAGCGGCGGACGGGUGAGUAACACGUGGGUAACCUGCCUGUAAGACUGGGAUAACUCCGGGAAACCGGGGCUAAUACCGGAUGCUUGUUUGAACCGCAUGGUUCAAACAUAAAAGGUGGCUUCGGCUACCACUUACAGAUGGACCCGCGGCGCAUUAGCUAGUUGGUGAGGUAACGGCUCACCAAGGCAACGAUGCGUAGCCGACCUGAGAGGGUGAUCGGCCACACUGGGACUGAGACACGGCCCAGACUCCUACGGGAGGCAGCAGUAGGGAAUCUUCCGCAAUGGACGAAAGUCUGACGGAGCAACGCCGCGUGAGUGAUGAAGGUUUUCGGAUCGUAAAGCUCUGUUGUUAGGGAAGAACAAGUACCGUUCGAAUAGGGCGGUACCUUGACGGUACCUAACCAGAAAGCCACGGCUAACUACGUGCCAGCAGCCGCGGUAAUACGUAGGUGGCAAGCGUUGUCCGGAAUUAUUGGGCGUAAAGGGCUCGCAGGCGGUUUCUUAAGUCUGAUGUGAAAGCCCCCGGCUCAACCGGGGAGGGUCAUUGGAAACUGGGGAACUUGAGUGCAGAAGAGGAGAGUGGAAUUCCACGUGUAGCGGUGAAAUGCGUAGAGAUGUGGAGGAACACCAGUGGCGAAGGCGACUCUCUGGUCUGUAACUGACGCUGAGGAGCGAAAGCGUGGGGAGCGAACAGGAUUAGAUACCCUGGUAGUCCACGCCGUAAACGAUGAGUGCUAAGUGUUAGGGGGUUUCCGCCCCUUAGUGCUGCAGCUAACGCAUUAAGCACUCCGCCUGGGGAGUACGGUCG
rnacentral:rRNA from 1 species